AGUGAACGCUGGCGGUAGGCCUAACACAUGCAAGUCGAACGGCAGCACAGUAAGAGCUUGCUCUUACGGGUGGCGGGUGGCGGACGGGUGAGGAAUACAUCGGAAUCUACUUUUUCGUGGGGGAUAACGUAGGGAAACUUACGCUAAUACCGCAUACGACCUACGGGUGAAAGCAGGGGAUCUUCGGACCUUGCGCGAUUGAAUGAGCCGAUGUCGGAUUAGCUAGUUGGCGGGGUAAAGGCCCACCAAGGCGACGAUCCGUAGCUGGUCUGAGAGGAUGAUCAGCCACACUGGAACUGAGACACGGUCCAGACUCCUACGGGAGGCAGCAGUGGGGAAUACUGGACAAUGGGCGCAAGCCUGAUCCAGCCAUACCGCGUGGGUGAAGAAGGCCUUCGGGUUGUAAAGCCCUUUUGUUGGGAAAGAAAAGCAGCAGGUUAAUACCCCGCUGUUCUGACGGUACCCAAAGAAUAAGCACCGGCUAACUUCGUG
rnacentral:rRNA from 1 species